UUCAAUAUUCGUCUUUAAUAUCGCGAAAAACGACACAAGGCAUAAGGUGUGACACCUUUUUUUCCUCUGUCUUUUCUUCGUAUUUUCGCAUUAUUGUAAUGCAGUUGUGCAGAGGGGACCAUUUUACAAGAUUCACUAAUUCUGCAAUGCCGAGCAAGAUGAACUUUACUUUUGGUUGUGUAAUUCUGUUUUUGCUGGCAUUACUCGCCGUGGCACAAGAUAUCAACGAGUGUAGUUCUAACCCGUGUCUACAAGGCUCUUGCAUCGAUCAGAUUAACGGCUUUACGUGCUUUUGCAGCGAUGGAUUCAUGGGCACAAAUUGUGAAUUAAAUAUCAACGAGUGUAGUUCUAGCCCGUGUCUACAAGGCUCUUGCAUCGAUCAGAUUAACGGCUU